rnacentral:rRNA from 1 species
AGGACGAACGCUGGCGGCGUGCUUAACACAUGCAAGUCACGGGGGUCCCGGGGGCAACUCUGGGAUAACCGGCGAACGGGUGCGUAACACGUGAGCAACCUGCCUUUGUGUGGGGGAUAGCCGGGCUAACGCCCGGGUAAUACCGCAUACGGUCAUUUGGGGGAGUCCCCGAAUGAAGAAACCUCCGGGGCACAGAGAGGGGCCUCGCG